GAUGAACGCUGGCGGCGUGCCUAAUACAUGCAAGUCGAGCGAACGGACGAGAAGCUUGCUUCUCUGAUGUUAGCGGCGGACGGGUGAGUAACACGUGGAUAACCUACCUAUAAGACUGGGAUAACUUCGGGAAACCGGAGCUAAUACCGGAUGAUAUUUUGAACCGCAUGGUUCAAAAGUGAAAGACGGUCUUGCUGUCACUUAUAGAUGGAUCCGCGCUGCAUUAGCUAGUUGGUAAGGUAACGGCUUACCAAGGCAACGAUGCAUAGCCGACCUGAGAGGGUGAUCGGCCACACUGGACCUGAGACACGGUCCAAACCCCUACGGGAGGAAGUAGUGGGGAAUCUUCCGCAAUGGGCGAAAGCCUAACGGAGCAAAGCCGCGUGAGUGAUGAAGGUCUUCGGAUCGUAAAACUCUGUUAUUAGGGAAGAACAUAUGUGUAAGUAACUGUGCACAUCUUGACGGUACCUAAUCAGAAAGCCCCGGCUACCUACGU
rnacentral:rRNA from 1 species